GUAAGGAAUAUUGGACAAUGGAGGCAACUCUGAUCCAGCCAUGCCGCGUGAAGGAAUAAGGCCCUAUGGGUUGUAAACUUCUUUUAGACGGGACAAAACCCCUUUACGUGUAAAGGGUUGAUGGUACUGUCAGAAUAAGCAUCGGCUAACUUCGUGCCAGCAGCCGCGGUAAUACGAAGGAUGCAAGCGUUAUCCGGAAUUAUUGGGUUUAAAGGGUGCGUAGGCGGACUAAUAAGUCAGUGGUGAAAGCCUGCAGCUUAACUGCAGAAUUGCCAUUGAUACUGUUAGUCUUGAGUACAGUUGAGGUAGGCGGAAUGUGUCAUGUAGCGGUGACAUGCUUAGAUAUGACACAGAACACCGAUUGCGAAGGCGGCUUGCUAAGCUGUAACUGACGCUGAGGCACGAAAGCGUGGGGAGCAAACA
rnacentral:rRNA from 1 species